UAAGAGUAGCAUGUCAAUCUCCUGUUGA
rnacentral:piRNA from 1 species